rnacentral:rRNA from 1 species
UGUUGGUUAAUUCGACGCAACGCGCAGAACCUUACCUAGACUUGACAUCCCGGGAUUUUCUGGAAACAGAGAAGUGCUUUAGCAAUAAAGAACCCGGUGACAGGUGCUGCAUGGUUGUCGUCAGCUCGUGUCGUGAGAUGUUGGGUUAAGUCCCGCAACGAGCGCAACCCUUAUCAUUAGUUGCUACGCAAGGGCACUCUAAUGAGACUGCCGGUGACAAACCGGAGGAAGGUGGGGAUGACGUCAAGUCCUCAUGGCCCUUAUGGGUAGGGCUUCACACGUCAUACAAUGGUCGGUACAGAGGGUUGCCAAGCCGCGAGGCGGAGCCAAUCCCACAAAGCCGAUCGUAGUCCGGAUUGUUCUCUGCAACUCGAGAGCAUGAAGUCGGAAUCGCUAGUAAUCGCAGGUCAGCAUACUGCGGUGAAUACGUUCCCGGGUCUU